rnacentral:rRNA from 1 species
UGAGAGCUUGCUUUUGAUUAUUUUAGCGGCGGACGGGUGAGUAACGUGUGGGUAACCUGCCUUUUACUGUGGAAUAAUCGUUGGAAACGACGACUAAUACCGCAUACGGUUCUUGGAAGGCAUCUUCUAAGAAAGAAAGGAUUUAUUCGGUAAAAGAUGGGCCCGCAUCUGAUUAGCUAGUUGGUGAGAUAAUAGCCCACCAAGGCAACGAUCAGUAGCCGACCUGAGAGGGUGACCGGCCACAUUGGGACUGAGACACGGCCCAAACUCCUACGGGAGGCAGCAGUGGGGAAUAUUGCACAAUGGGCGAAAGCCUGAUGCAGCAACGCCGCGUGAAGGAAGACGGUUUUCGGAUUGUAAACUUCUAUCAAUAGGGAAGAAAGAAAUGACGGUACCUAAAUAAGAAGCCCCGGCUAACUACGUGCCAGCAGCCGCGGUAAUACGUAGGGGGCAAGCGUUAUCCGGAAUUACUGGGUGUAAAGGGAGAGUAGGCGGCAAGGUAAGCGAUAUGUGAAAGCCUUAGGCUUAACCAAAGGAUUGCAUAACGAACUAUCUAGCUAGAGUACAGGAGAGGAAAGCGGAAUUCCUAGUGUAGCGGUGAAAUGCGUAGAUAUUAGGAAGAACACCAGUGGCGAAGGCGGCUUUCUGGACUGAAACUGACGCUGAGGCUCGAAAGCGUGGGGAGCGAACAGGAUUAGAUACCCUGGUAGUCCACGCUGUAAACGAUGAGUGCUAGGUGUCGGGGAGGAAUUCCCGGUGCCGGAGCAAACGCAAUAAGCACUCCACCUGGGGAGUACGACCGCAAGGUUGAAACUCAAAGGAAUUGACGGGGG